rnacentral:rRNA from 1 species
GAGGAGCCCGCGGCCUAUCAGCUUGUUGGUAGGGUAACGGCCUACCAAGGCAAAGACGGGUAGCUGGUCUGAGAGGAUGACCAGCCACACGGGGACUGAGACACGGCCCCGACUCCUACGGGAGGCAGCAGUGGGGAAUAUUGGGCAAUGGGGGAAACCCUGACCCAGCGACGCCGCGUGGGUGAUGAAGGCCUUCGGGUCGUAAAGCCCUGUCGGGAGGAACGAAUGAUCUCGCGGUGAAUAACCGCGAGAUGUGACGGUACCUCCGAAGGAAGCACCGGCCAACUCCGUGCCAGCAGCCGCGGUAAGACGGAGGGUGCAAGCGUUGCUCGGAAUCACUGGGCGUAAAGGGUGCGUAGGCGGUCUCUCAAGUCUGGCGUGAAAGCCCAGGGCUCAGCCCUGGAAGUGCGCUAGAAACUGAGAGGCUUGAGUGCCGGAGGGGAGAGUGGAAUUCCCGGUGUAGCGGUGAAAUGCGUAGAUAUCGGGAGG